CAUAGUACAUCACUUGGUAGCAAGUUCUGCGGGUACUUGGUAAGAAAAUAGGAAUCGUAAAUACUAUAUUGGUGUUAGAAACUAGAAACGCUAAUUCCAUAUAACAGAUGAUUAACCAGGAAAUAGACUUGCAUGUGUUUGGUCUUCUUUCUUUAUUUUUCUUUCUCAAUCUCAUGACGAUGUUCAUCAUAGAAAAAACAAUAUAGGAUUGAUGAGCUUUUGUAUGUUGCUGAAUUAUGUUUUGUUUCUGUUCAGUCGGACUUAUAAAGAUUAGUUGAACUUAUAAAUUCUAAAACAGCUUAUAGAUUGGCUACUUGAACGUGAUUAAUUCAGUAUGUUUGUUGUUUUUGUUUGUGUAUAAAAUCCUACAUAUGGUCUUUAUUUUGAUCAAUGUUUGUGGUGAUUGCGGUAAUCAAAUUUUGGUUGAUAAUUUAAAUAAUAGACUGGCAGGCAAAAGUUGAUUGCAAUUCAAAGUUCUAGGAUAGGAUAGAAAAGUUACAUAUUUAUGUUACUUUAUGAAUAUGUGAAAUGGGAUAAUUUGUAAUACAUUUAAAGUUCUAGGAUAGGAUAGAAAAACUUUUUUUUUCUAGGAUGAACUUCAGGAACACAGAGAUUUAUCAAGUGAACCUCUGUAGCUAAUAUAUGCGAAGGAUGCUUAAAAGGAAGUUACUAUUUAGCUGAUUAGCUUUAUUGCUGAUAAUCCAAAGGAAAAACGUUACGAAAUGGUUGAGUAGCUUUACACGUAGUCGAUUAGAACAGUUUAUGUGCCUAUUAUGCCUUCCUUCUAUUGCUAUUGUUGAGCAAGAAUUAGACGAUUUAGGUUUUUCUUUGCUGAUGUGUUAUGUGUUUUUCUUAUUCUUUUUCUGCGGAAAGAGCUUGAAGAACAUAUAGAUUGGUUUUGAUAUUCAGAUGACAUAGUUGAGAGACACUUUAUGUUCUAACUAAUUUCUAGCUUAUAAAAUUAUAGAUGUACUACUCUACUCUUUGUACUUUAAUACUUGUUUGCAGUGGACUAAUUAUGUGUAGAUAAACUUAUUUUCCAACCGUAGUGAUCAAAAGUUAUUAGAUUGAUCUAAAAUCAGAUGUCUAGAUUAGCUAACUAAUUUCGAAGUUAUAGAAAUUCGUGUGUAGUUUAUUAGAGUUAUGUAAUGGUGAAUUGUCUUUGUUUGAGCCUCUUUGCACUAGAUGAAAUACUCAAUUUAUAUACAUAAUUUGAGGACUCACCGCUUUAUGCAUCUAUCCGGUUAGCUAUAUGCUAUUGCAUUGUAAAUUUGAUAAAUCUAAUAUGUUGUUCUGGAUUAAUUCUAAUGAAGAGUCUAUUUGAUUUCUAUGAGAGCAUUGCUUUAUAUUCUUCAUUUCCAUUUCUAAUUUACAUUAUUUAGUAUUGGAGAUUUGGUGUAUUUGCAUAUCAAAUUUAAAAUGUGUUUUAAUCAGUUUGUACUUUUGAAUUUGAUUUGGGGUCUUACUUGUUGAGCUUUCCAUUGCUGUUUUGAGCUCAAGUAGUGGGAAUUUUCUGUCCUGAGAGAUCACAAAACUUGUUAUGAAGUUUCGGGAAACGCUAAUCACUUGGAGUCUUUCGAUAUUAAGGUGAGUGGUUUCUUAUGAGGUUUUCAUACCGGAUUACCAUUUUUAUCCCAUCUUUUUCUUUUGCACCGACUGUGUUGCAUCUCCAUCUUGCUACUUUUCGUGCUAGAUUGUUGUAAACAUUUUAUCUUAUUCUGUCCCACAUUACCUUAAAUGAUUAAGGUAUAUCCCUUGACGAAAUGUCUUCUAUUUUUGUUAAGCACAUCCGGUUAAAAAUCCUCUACAUAUUUAAACCAGCGACAAGAGAUUGCUCGGUGGUUUCUGGAUUCGGCCACAGUAACAAAACUAUACAAUGUAAGGCUGUGAGAUUGAUGCGCAGCGUGGAUCUUACUAUAGUAGCUGAAGCAUGCACAUUAGGGACGAUUUUUCUCUA